AGUGAACGCUGGCGGUAGGCCUAACACAUGCAAGUCGAACGGCAGCACAGUAAGAGCUUGCUCUUACGGGUGGCGAGUGGCGGACGGGUGAGGAAUACAUCGGAAUCUACUUUUUCGUGGGGGAUAACGUAGGGAAACUUACGCUAAUACCGCAUACGACCUACGGGUGAAAGCAGGGGAUCUUCUGACCUUGCGCGAUUGAAUGAGCCGAUGUCGGAUUAGCUAGUUGGCGGGGUAAAGGCCCACCAAGGCGACGAUCCGUAGCUGGACUGAGAGGAUGAUCAGCCACACUGGAACUGAGACACGGUCCAGACUCCUGCGGGAGGCAGCAGUGGGGAAUAUUGGACAAUGGGCGCAAGCCUGAUCCAGCCAUACCGCGUGGGUGAAGAAGGCCUUCGGGUUGUAAAGCCCUUUUGUUGGGAAAGAAAAGCAGCAGGUUAAUACCCCGCUGUUCUGACGGUACCCAAAGAAUAAGCACCGGCUAACUUCGUG
rnacentral:rRNA from 1 species